rnacentral:rRNA from 1 species
AACGAACGCUGGCGGCAUGCCUAACACAUGCAAGUCGAACGAGAUCUUCGGGUCUAGUGGCGCACGGGUGCGAGACGCGUGGGAAUCUGCCCUGUGGUUCGGAAUAACAGUUGGAAACGACUGCUAAUACCGGAUGAUGACGAAAGUCCAAAGAUUUAUCGCCAGUGGAUGAGCCCGCGUAGGAUUAGCUAGAUGGUGUGGUAAAGGCGCACCAAGGCGACGAUCAUUAGCUGGUCUGAGAGGAUGAUCAGCCACACUGGGACCGAGACACGGCACAGAAGGUUCCAGGUGGCAGCAGUGGAGAAUAGUGGAGAAUGGGCUAAGGCCUGAUCAAGCAAUGCCGCGUGGGUGAUGCAAGCCUUAGGGUUGUCAAGCUCUUUUUCCCGGCCUGCUAGUUAGCGCACCGGGGGAGUAAGCGCCGGCUAACUCCGUUCCAGCAGCCGCAGUUG